UGGCGGUGGAAGGAGACACGAGGGCCGAGGAAGCGUGAGGGGGGCCACAAAAAAAGACUCUGCAGGUGAUGCCCAGCAGGAUUUAGGGGCACUAGAGGUGACCCUCAAACGCCUAGAAGGGUGGGGACUCGGAAUCCCAGCAGCAAGUGCUCCGCAGGAAAGUACUAUCGCUGGACUUGCUAGUGGCGAAGCCCAAGAGGCAGGAACUGCAUCCAGUGCCUCCAAGUUUUGUUCCAGCACCUUAGAGCUACUCAUGUCGACACAGCACCUCCCGCUGGUUAGUCUCACUAGAGGAUGGGUGAUGCUGUGUAACUAUGAAAUAGACAGUCACGUUCUGCCACUGACGAAUGUGCUGUGUGACCUUGAGCGAGUGAAUUUGCCUCUCUCGGCUUUUCUUUCUCUAUGGAGUUGAGGCAAGAAGGUUCUGCGCGUCUCAAGAUCUCUUCCAACACUAAUACUCCCUCUGAAAAUUCCCAUUCCCAGCCUUAGUUAUAAACAUCGCUUCAGUGAGUUUGAAUUCUCUGGAGCCGUCUUGGCACAUUUGGAUGGACUUGGUCUGGAUGCCCCCCUGACUCAUUUGCCCAGCCCUCCUUUCUCCCCAUCACUCUGUCCUCCUCCUACACGGCCUCUCUGCCUGACACCCGCAGUUCUUCAUAUCCAGAAGUGAUUUUCCUAAAACUUAAACCUGACAUCCUUCUGUUUAAAACGGUUUUCAAGAAGCUGAGGCAGGAGGAUUACAUUUUCUGUUAGUCUGGGUUAUGUAGUGACUAUAUGAAAAAAAAAAAAAAAA